rnacentral:snRNA from 15 species
AUCCUGGUGCACGGGUUUUACACGUAUCAGUGAGGAGACAUCCGAGAUCGUGUUUUUGCUAGUUGAAAACUACCUAGUUGACUGCUCUACUUGGCCUUCGGGUCGGGUAGGAAUUUUUGAACAAAGAAGCUGCCCUGACUUCAUUUUGAAGCCAGUCCUCGACGAGUCUU